UCUCUCUCUCUCUCUCUCUCCCUCCCCUCUUGGGGGUUCAGAACCCCUAAAACUAAACCCUAAAUUGAACAAUUUCUAUUGGUUUUAGCAGCGUUGAUCUCUCUAGGGCUUGCUAUUACUUCUCAUACACAUCGUUAUUGGUGGUUUUGUGUGAUGAAAAUGUUCUAUUGCUUAUAUGAACUUGGAUGAUUUGCUUUUAAAUCUAUCAUGAAUAUUAGUCUGCAU